AUACGGAGGAUCCGAGCGUUAUCCGGAUUUAUUGGGUUUAAAGGGAGCGUAGGUGGACAGUUAAGUCAGUUGUGAAAGUUUGCGGCUCAACCGUAAAAUUGCAGUUGAUACUGGCUGUCUUGAGUACAGUAGAGGUGGGCGGAAUUCGUGGUGUAGCGGUGAAAUGCUUAGAUAUCACGAAGAACUCCGAUUGCGAAGGCAGCUCACUGGACUGCAACUGACACUGAUGCUCGAAAGUGUGGGUAUCAAACAGGAUUAGAUACCCUGGUAGUCCACACAGUAAACGAUGAAUACUCGCUGUUUGCGAUAUACGGUAAGCGGCCAAGCGAAAGCGUUAAGUAUUCCACCUGGGGAGUACGCCGGCAACGGUGAA
rnacentral:rRNA from 1 species